AAAAAAUGUAUUUUUAUAUCCUGACUUUAUAUUUAGCUUCACUCCUAUUGGACGAGAAUUACUAAAGAAUAUAAACAUCAUGCACGUUUUAAUAGAUAAGAUAAUACAGCAGCAGACUGGUACAUUAAAUAAACUCGAUACC